CCUACACUUUGACAACACUUUUAUCUCCAAUUUACUCACACAACACAUUUAUGUGCAUUGUAUAUACAAUUCAGUGUUCUCUUUUUUUUUCUCUCUCUCUUUGUCCCUCUAUCCCCUCCAAAAGGUUGAUUUCCUGUCAAUUAUUUUUUAUUUUGAAAAAGAAAUUGAUACCUUGUCUAUAAAUAAUAAACAAGGAAGAUAGUAUAUACUGAC